rnacentral:rRNA from 1 species
AGCGAACGCUGGCGGCAGGCCUAACACAUGCAAGUCGAACGAACUCUUCGGAGUUAGUGGCGGACGGGUGAGUAACACGUGGGAACGUGCCUUUAGGUUCGGAAUAACUCAGGGAAACUUGUGCUAAUUCCGAAUGUGCCCUUCGGGGGAAAGAUUUAUCACCUUUAGAGCGGCCCGCGUCUGAUUAGCUAGUUGGUGGGGUAAUGGCCCACCAAGGUCACGAUCAGUAGCUGGUAUGAGAGGAUAACCAGCCACAGUGGGACUGAGACACGGACCAAACUCCUACGGGAGGCAGCAGUGGGGAAUCUUGCGCAAUGGGCGAAAGCCUGACGCAGCCAUGCCGCGUGGAUGAUGAAGGUCUUAGGAUUGUAAAAUCCUUUCACCGGUGAAGAUAAUGACUGUAGCCGGAGAAGAAGCCCCGGCUAACUUCGUGCCAGCCGCCGCAGUAACAC